UACGUAGGGGGCUAGCGUUGUCCGGAAUCAUUGGGCGUAAAGCGCGUGUAGGCGGUUCGGUAAGUCCGCUGUGAAAGUCGGGGGCUCAACCCUCGGAUGCCGGUGGAUACUGUCGGGCUUGAGUACGGAAGAGGCGAGUGGAAUUCCUGGUGUAGCGGUGAAAUGCGCAGAUAUCAGGAGGAACACCAAUUGCGAAGGCAGCUCGCUGGGACGUUACUGACGCUGAGGAGCGAAAGCGUGGGGAGCGAACAGG
rnacentral:rRNA from 1 species